UGCUGGAUGGGACACCCCUGAGAAGGGUGGAAUAGGAUUCAGUUUUGACCACUCCAGGCCCCAAUCCAGGCAGCGAGUGGUGUGGGAGUCCAUUCACCUGCCCCUGUUCUGGGCUAACAAGUGAAGUCUUUCCCAUCUGGAGGGGGAUAAAAUGACCCACUUAACGCCACAGAGUGGUGCACCAACAUGAGACAUAACGAGGGAACAUUUGGAUGACGUGGCUACUUUAGAUGCAAAACAUUCGGAGGUGGUGGAAAACUGGCCCACAAAACCAUGCGGAACAUUGUUUUGCCACACGAUCCUGGUGCUCAGCAAAAUGAAUAAUGGGAAUAUGAAUUUCACAGCGUUUAAUCCAUGAAUACAAGAAAUAAGAUCACACAUAAAUACCCUUUCAUGAGCCAUACAGAAACAUCUUCAAUUUGCGUUGAGCCGUUUAGCAGAUUUUGAUCAAGGUCAACAAUAGCUUUUGCCGUUGUGUCUGCACAUCCAUUGCCCAGCAGAUCAUCGUCUACAGCUUCCACUCGGGAAAGAUCACCAACAUGUUGUCUGAGUUCAUACCCCUUUGGAGCAGUGGAAAUGCCAAACAGCAUGUGGAGCCACCUGUAUCUCCCGAAAGCUCUUCUGUUUCAGGCUCAACUUGAAUUUCCCUCAGCAGAUUCUGAAUUGGUCUUGCAUUCUCACCAACUUUGAGAUGAUAUUCUCCCAGAAGACACCC